rnacentral:lncRNA from 10 species
GGUGUCAGCGGCGGUUGAAUUGCCAUGGCAAUGCGGUGGGCGCGCGCUUGUCGUGUUGGUCUCUUGGGAGGUAGCGGGGCUAGGCCGGGCGGGUAUCCGCCUCUCCCAGCUUAGGUGAGCGUCCCCGGGCGCCUCCGGAGCGCCGCGGCCGCAUGCAGUUCGUCGUGGCGGGGAGCCGGAGCCUGACCGGGGUUCCAGCGCUCGGGCCGUAGCCUUGGCUCCUGGACUUUCCCUGGCUCCGCCGCCACGUGGGAGCUGAGGCUCUGGGGCUUCCGCCUCCGGCGCGCGAUUAUUUCUCUAGAACAGUUUUCAUUUUUAAAAUUUGUAAAGCGCUUUUGCCUGUGUGAUUUCCUCUGGGUUUUUUUUUUUUUUCUUCCUUUUUGUAGAGACGGAAUUGGCGGCGGGGGCGGGGGGUCGAUGUCUCACUUUUUUGCCCAGGCUGGUCUCGAACUCCUGGCUUCAAGGGAUCCUCCUGCCUCGGCCUCUUAAAGUGCUGGGAUUACAGGCGUGAGCCACCGCCCCCGGCCGCCUCUGAGUUUCCAGCCUCGUUGGCCCUCCAGCCUUUUAACCUGUUGGGCCUAGGAUCAGGAAAGGUUUGUUGAAUGGGGAACUAAGAAGUGAAUUCGUUCGUUCGACAAACGUUUCCUGAGCAGCCGCUGGGUGCUAGGCGCAGUGCCAGCGCGGAAUGUCCAGGGAGACCUGGUGCCCAAAGCUUGGACCCAUCGUGAGAAAUGAGAAGCAGAUACAAAGCAGUGUGGGAGUGCAGAGGAGACAAAGCAAGCCUCAUCAGGCCCAUUGCUUGCUCUGCUCUCCCUUGUACUUACCAGUGCUUGACAAUAUACAGUUAUUUACUAGCUUGGUUAUUGACUUCCUACCCAGCACUCAGUUUUAUUCACUGCUGUAUCCUCAGUGCCUAGGACGAUGCUUGGAACGUGGUAAGUGCUCCUAUUGGCGGGAAGAAUAAAUCCGGAAGAGCAGGACCAGUGGACUUGCUACAUAAUCUGUAGUCUUGGAGCCGCACAGGGUUGGUGGUACCCUCGAGCACACCAGACUUGCAGAAAAAGCAUACUCCAGAGGAAGCUGAGGCAUGCCUGCUCGAGAGCCAGCUGUUCCAUGUGCAAUUUUCCUCUGAUAGUUUCUGGUCACUGUUGCCACGGUGAUAAUGACUGGGCUAUGUCAUUAUCUAUCCGCCAACAGUAAGAGAAGCUUUGCAGUCGAGAUAUUGUUUAGCAGAUGGAGUGUUUUCUGUUGAACACUAAGUACUGCCACAAGUUACUUUUUUUUUUUUAAACUUUGAGUAUUUUUUUACAAUGUUGCUGGAGGUGAUCUGUUUAUGCUUUGAGAGUGUUCGAAUUUAAAAUCAGAAAAUCAUGUCAGUGAGUGAGUCUUUCAAAUAAUCCUUCGGCAUGAAACCUGAGCCUAGUAAACUAUGAAAGUAAACUCGGCACAUUACCCGAAAGUCUCAAUGUCAUAUUUUCACCCCCAUCAAUAUUAUUGAUGAUUGCUCAUUUUCUAAUGUGGGACCUGAAAUUUACCAGGUGCUUAAAGAAUCUUUUUGUUUUUCAGAUUCAUUGAUUCCAGGUAAAUCAGAGGAACAAGCAACAUGAACAGAAAUAUGUAGAAAAAGCUAUUAUGCAGAAGCAUAAUUGUUGUUUCAGAAGUCCAGCAUCUGGUGCACUUAACAAUAGAGAAUAUAUUAAACUCUUUCCAAAAUAACCUGUUGUUCCUACCUGUGUUGUAAGUGUUUUGUUUGUUUUUAAGUAAAUAUUGGUGAUUUGUUGCCAAAAACCUAAA